UACGAAGGGGGCUAGCGUUGCUCGGAAUCACUGGGCGUAAAGGGUGCGUAGGCGGGUCUUUAAGUCAGGGGUGAAAUCCUGGAGCUCAACUCUGGAAUUGCCUUUGAGACUGAGUGGCUUGAGUACGGGAGAGGUGAGUGGAAUUCCCAGUGUAGAGGUGAAAUUCGUAGAUAUUGGGAAGAACACCGGUGGCGAAGGCGGCUCACUGGCCCGUAACUGACGCUCAUGCACGACAGCGUGGGGAUCAAACAGG
rnacentral:rRNA from 1 species